GAGCGCAACCCCUACGUUAGUUGCUAACGCGUGAAGGCGAGCACUCUAGACGAACUGCCGUUGACAAAACGGAGGAAGGUGGGGAUGACGUCAAAUCAUCAUGCCCCUUAUGUUCUGGGCUACACACGUGCUACAAUGGCCGGUACAGACGGACGCAAAGCCGCGAGGUGGAGCAAAUCCUAAAAAGCCGGCCUCAGUUCGGAUUGCAGGCUGCAAUUCGCCUGCAUGAAGUCGGAAUCGCUAGUAAUCGCAGGUCAGCAUACUGCGGUGAAUACGUUCCCGGGCCUU
rnacentral:rRNA from 1 species